rnacentral:rRNA from 1 species
GAUGAACGCUAGCGGCAGGCUUAACACAUGCAAGUCGAGGGGCAGCAUAAUGAAGUAGCAAUACGGAAUUGAUGGCGACCGGCGCACGGGUGCGUAACGCGUAUGUAACCUACCUUUAACAGGGGGAUAACACUGAGAAAUUGGUACUAAUACCCCAUAAUACCUGAAGAGGCAUCUUUUAGGUUGAAAGUUCCGGCGGUUAAAGAUGGACAUGCGUUGUAUUAGCUAGAUGGUGAGGUAACGGCUCACCAUGGCGACGAUACAUAGGGGGACUGAGAGGUUAACCCCCCACACUGGUACUGAGACACGGUCCAAACUCCUACGGGAGGCAGCAGUGAGGAAUAUUGGGCAAUGGGGGAAACCCUGACCCAGCAACGCGCGUGAAGGAAGAAGGCUUCGGUGUAACU